CACGUAGGGCGCAAGCGUUGUCCGGAAUUAUUGGGCGUAAAGAGCUCGUAGGCGGUCUGUUGCGUCCGCUGUGAAAACCCGGGGCUUAACCCCUGGCUUGCAGUGGAUACGGACAGACUAGAGGUAGGUAGGGGAGAAUGGAAUUCCCGGUGUAGCGGUGAAAUGCGCAGAUAUCGGGAGGAACACCGGUGGCGAAGGCGGCUCUCUGGGCCUUACCUGACGCUGAGGCACGAAAGCGUGGGGAGCAAACAGG
rnacentral:rRNA from 1 species